rnacentral:lncRNA from 1 species
AAAAUAUUUUACAUGCUUUUAAUUAAGUUAAAAGGCCAAAAUUCUAAGACUACAUCUAAGAUCAGUUGAUAAAGGUCAAAAAUGUGUAACAUCAAGGUACAUGCACACAUAUAAGACAAAAGUUUCUUCUACUGCAGUAAAAUGCCUGGAAGUGGUGCCUCUGACACAUCUACACUCUGCAAAGAGAAGAGAGCAGUUAGAAGAAGCCUUCUCCUCAUCAGGAUGUCCAUAUGGUUCCAAGUAGGAAGGAUUUCCACAUACAGCUCCAGAGAAACUCCCUCAGCUAUAACUUCAGAAACACUCAGAUUUUACAUCAAAGAGAAGUGAUGUCAUCUGGAUUAAUGGUUAGUUUAAGAGGUAUGACUAUCACAGUACGAUAGACAGGUCUCUUACAGUCUCAGAAAGGAUGGUAAAGAAGAUACAGUUACCCAGGUUACCUAAAGAAGAUCCAGUUACCCAGGUA